GGAUAACAGGUUGAUAUUCCUGUACCACCUAUAAUCGUUUUAAUCGAUGGGGGGACGCAGUAGGAUAGGCGAAGCGUGCGAUUGGAUUGCACGUCUAAGCAGUAAGGCUGAGUAUUAGGCAAAUCCGGUACUCGUUAAGGCUGAGCUGUGAUGGGGAGAAGACAUUGUGUCUUCGAGUCGUUGAUUUCACACUGCCGAGAAAAGCCUCUAGAUAGAAAAUAGGUGCCCGUACCGCAAACCGACACAGGUAGUCAAGAUGAGAAUUCUAAGGUGAGCGAGCGAACUCUCGUUAAGGAACUCGGCAAAAUGACCCCGUAACUUCGGGAGAAGGGGUGCUCUUUAGGGUUAACGCCCAGAAGAGCCGCAGUGAAUAGGCCCAAGCGACUGUUUAUCAAAAACACAGGUCUCUGCUAAACCGUAAGGUGAUGUAUAGGGGCUGACGCCUGCCCGGUGCUGGAAGGUUAAGAGGAGUGGUUAGCUUCUGCGAAGCUACGAAUCGAAGCCCCAGUAAACGGCGGCCGUAACUAUAACGGUCCUAA
rnacentral:rRNA from 1 species